rnacentral:rRNA from 1 species
UUGGGAUAGCACUGACGCUCAUGCAAGAAAACGUGGGGAGCAAUCAGGAUUUAGAUACCCUGGUAGUNCACGCCCUAAANGAUGUUGACUAGUUGUUGGGAAUUUACAUUCUCAGUAACGUAGCUAACGCGUGAAGUCAGCCGCCUGGGGAGUACGNUCGCAAGAUUAAAACUCAAAGGAAUUGACGGGGACCCGCACAAGCGGUGGAUGAUGUGGANUAAUUCGAUGCAACGCGAAAAACCUUACCUNCCCUUGACAUGUCACUAACGAAGUAGAGAUACAUUAGGUGCCCGUAAGGGAAAGUGAACACAGGUNCUGCAUGGCUGUCGUCAGCUCGUGUCGUGAGAUGUUGGGUUAAGUCCCGCAACGAGCGCANCCCUUGUCUUUAGUUGCUACGCAAGCGCACUCUAAAGAGACUGCCGGUGACAAACCGGAGGAAGGUGGGGAUGACGUCAAGUCCUCAUGGCCCUUAUGGGUAGGGCUUCACACGUCAUACAAUGGCGCGUACAGAGGGUUGCCAACCCGCGAGGGGGAGCUAAUCUCUUAAAACGCAUCGUAGUCCGGAUCGUAGUCUGCAACUCGACUACNUGAAGCUGGAAUCGCUAGUAAUCGCGGAUCAGCAUGUCGCGGUGAAUACGUUCCCGGGUCUUGUACACACCGCCCGUCACACCAUGGGAGUGGGUUUUNCCAGAAGCAGUUAGCCUAACCGCAAGGGGGGCGAUUGCCACGGCAGGGUUCAUGACUGGGGUG